UCAAAGCAAGAGCCUUGGCGGCGGGGAUGGAGAGCGGGUGUGAAGCCGUCCCCUCUCAUCCACCGCCUACAAGGGUCCCUCCCGGGAAGGACACCUGAGCCGCGGGCCGGCAUCCCAUGCUCGGGGGGAAAGGAGCCCGAGCUUCAGCCUCUGCUUUCAGCCCAAGCGCUGUCAUCCACCUCACCCCCACCCAGCCCCCGAGCCCCCCGGGGCAGAAGGGGGAACUGAAUUAUCACUAGAGGAGGACAGAAGCCGAUGUCUCAAGGCCGAGGGAUGGCAACCAGGGACCGAAGGAGACCAGGAGGCUGAUCCCAGUCUCAUUGUGAUCAACAAAAACAGAUACCUGACAGGAUUUGAAGGGAACAAUCCUACAGUCUCCAGUUCAUGUCAAGAAGUACUGAAGAUAUUCUGGUGGAAUUUCACAGCCACUUCAAUCAAGCAGUAUCUAUUUUGGGCAGACUGAGUUCACACCAAAGCAAGUGCUGUGCUGCGCUAAGUAACAGAAGUGAAGAGAGCAACAGAAACAAGCCAAGAGGAAUGAAUAUUCACAAAUAAUGAAUCUUUUGAAAUCAGUGCUCUGAACAGUGCUCCUGCUUUCCAGAUAUUCCCACCUACUGUCAGUUGGUUUUAAUUCUGUAAACAACAUUUUGCCGUGAUGUUAAAAUGUAUGCAUAUAAAAAUAAAUCAAAACAGGCAAAUGCAGUUGACGAAAAGAACAAGGCUUUGUCAAUAAAAGCGAAAAUUAUAAUCUAAAGUGCUACGGAGUACCUUUGUUUUGCCACUUUUGGCAUCCAAAGAUUUGUGGAGACAUUCCUGACUGCUUGCUGAGACACUGCAGA